GCCUGGGUGGCUCAGUCGGUUGAGCGUCCGACUUCAGCUCAGGUCACGAUCUCACAUUCGUGAGUUUGAACCCCGCGUCAGGCU
rfam:Felis catus isolate Cinnamon breed Abyssinian chromosome A2, whole genome shotgun sequence.